rnacentral:rRNA from 1 species
UACCAGCACCCCGAGUGGUCGGGACGAUUAUUGGGCGUAAAGGAUGCGUAGAUGGUUCAGUAAGUUACUGGUGGGAAAUCGAGGCCCAACCUCGUGGAAGUUAGUAAUACUGUUGAACUUGAGUGCAGGAGAGGUUAACGGAACUUCAUGUGGAGCGGUAAAAUGCGUAGAUAUAUGAAAGAACAUCAAUAUGGCGAAGGCAGUUAACUAUUCUGCUACUGACAUUGAGGCAUGAAAGCGUGGGGAGCAAAACGG